rnacentral:rRNA from 1 species
GUUGUAUAGUCAAGUAAUUAAGUGCAUGUGGUGGAUGCCUUGGCAGUCAGAGGCGAUGAAAGACGUGAUAGCCUGCGAAAAGCUCCGGGGAGGCGGCAAAUAUCCUUUGAUCCGGAGAUGUCUGAAUGGGGGAACCCACCUACUUUAAGGUAGGUAUUGCAACAUGAAUACAUAGUGUUGCAAGGCGAACGAGGGGAAGUGAAACAUCUCAGUACCCUUAGGAAAAGAAAUCAAUUGAGAUUCCCUCAGUAGCGGCGAGCGAACGGGGAUCAGCCCAUUAAGUUAUGUGUGUUUUAGUGGAACGCUCUGGGAAGUGCGAACGUAGAGGGUGAUAUUCCCGUACACGAAAGGGCACACAUAAUGAUGACGAGUAGGGCGAGGCACGUGAAACCUUGUCUGAAUAUGGGGGGACCAUCCUCCAAGGCUAAAUACUCCUGACUGACCGAUAGUGAACCAGUACCGUGAGGGAAAGGCGAAAAGAACCCCUGUGAGGGGAGUGAAAUAGAUCCUGAAACCGCAUGCAUACAAGCAGUGGGAGCACCUUCGUGGUGUGACUGCGUACCUUUUGUAUAAUGGGUCAGCGACUUAUAUUCAGUAGCGAGGUUAACCGUAUAGGGGAGCCGUAGAGAAAUCGAGUCUUAAUAGGGCGUUUAGUUGCUGGGUAUAGACCCGAAACCAGGCGAUCUAUCCAUGAGCAGGUUGAAGGUUGGGUAACACUAACUGGAGGACCGAACCCACUGUCGUUGAAAAGCCAGGGGAUGACUUGUGGAUAGGGGUGAAAGGCUAAUCAAGCCUGGUGAUAGCUGGUUCUCCCCGAAAGCUAUUUAGGUAGCGCCUCGGACGAAUACCAUAGGGGGUAGAGCACUGUUUCGGCUAGGGGGCAUCCCGACUUACCAAACCGAUGCAAACUCCGAAUACCUAUGAGUACUAUCCGGGAGACAGACUGCGGGUGCUAACGUCCGUAGUCAAGAGGAAAACAAUCCAGACCGCCAGCUAAGGCCCCAAAAUCAUAGUUAAGUGGGAAACGAUGUGGGAAGGCAUAGACAGCUAGGAGGUUGGCUUAGAAGCAGCCACCCUUUAAAGAAAGCGUAAUAGCUCACUAGUCGAGUCGGCCUGCGCGGAAGAUGUAACGGGGCUAAAACUAUGUGCCGAAGCUGCGGAUGUAUACUUUGUAUACGUGGUAGGGGAGCGUUCUGUAAGCCGAUGAAGGUGUGUUGAGAAGCAUGCUGGAGGUAUCAGAAGUGCGAAUGCUGACGUGAGUAACGACAAAACGGGUGAAAAACCCGUUCGCCGAAAGACCAAGGGUUCCAGUCCAACGUUAAUCGGGGCUGGGUGAGUCGACCCCUAAGGCGAGGCCGAAAGGCGUAGUCGAUGGGAAAAUGGUUAAUAUUCCAUUACUUCUGUGUAAUGCGAUGAGAGGACGGAGAAGGCUAAAUCAGCCUGGCGUUGGUUGUCCAGGUGAAAGGAUGUAGGCAUGUAUCUUAGGCAAAUCCGGGGUACUCUAUGCUGAGAUCUGAUAGCAAGCUGUACUUGUACAGCGAAGUGGUUGAUGCCAUGCUUCCAGGAAAAGUCUCUAAGCUUCAGUUACACAGGAAUCGUACCCGAAACCGACACAGGUGGUCAGGUCGAGUAGACCAAGGCGCUUGAGAGAACUCUGCUGAAGGAACUAGGCAAAAUGGUACCGUAACUUCGGGAGAAGGUACGCUGUUGUUGGUGAUGGAACUCGCUUCCUGAGCUGACGACAGCCGCAGAAACCAGGCCGCUGCAACUGUUUAUUAAAAACAUAGCACUCUGCAAACACGAAAGUGGACGUAUAGGGUGUGAUGCCUGCCCGGUGCUGGAAGGUUAAUUGAUGGGGUUAGCGUAAGCGAAGCUCUUGAUCGAAGCCCCAGUAAACGGCGGCCGUAACUAUAACGGUCCUAAGGUAGCGAAAUUCCUUGUCGGGUAAGUUCCGACCUGCACGAAUGGCAUAAUGAUGGCGGCGCUGUCUCCAGCAGAGGCUCAGUGAAAUCGAAAUCGCUGUGAAGAUGCAGUGUACCCGCGGCUAGACGGAAAGACCCCGUGAACCUUUACUGCAGCUUGACACUGAACUUUGACCUUACUUGUGUAG